UAUUGUCAAGCCAUGAUUUGGCCGCGUA
rnacentral:sRNA from 1 species